GACAGUGUGGUGUAGUGGUUUGAACGUUGGACUAUGACUCUGGAAACCGGGGUUUGAAUCCCAGCGCAGUCA
rnacentral:tRNA from 1 species